GUACGGAAGGCAGCAGUGGGGAAUUUUGGACAAUGGGGGCAACCCUGAUCCAGCCAUUCCGCGUGAGUGAAGAAGGCCUUCGGGUUGUAAAGCUCUUUUGUCCGGAGCGAAACGGUUACGGUGAAUAUCCGUGACUACUGACGGUACCGGAAGAAUAAGCACCGGCUAACUACGUGCCAGCAGCCGCGGUAAUACGUAGGGUGCGAGCGUUAAUCGGAAUUACUGGGCGUAAAGCGUGCGCAGGCGGUUUUGUAAGCCAGACGUGAAAUCCCCGGGCUUAACCUGGGAAUGGCGUUUGGGACUGCAAGGCUGGAGUGUGGCAGAGGGGACUAGAAUUCCUGGUGUAGCAGUGAAAUGCGUAGAUAUCAGGAGGAAUACCGAUGGCGAAGGCAGGUCCCUGGGCUAACACUGACGCUCAUGCACGAAAGCGUGGGGAGCAAACAGGAUUAGAAACCCUAGUAGUCCU
rnacentral:rRNA from 1 species